rnacentral:rRNA from 1 species
UUAAGUUGCAGGGUAUAGACCCGAAACCCGGUGAUCUAGCCAUGGGCAGGUUGAAGGUUGGGUAACACUAACUGGAGGACCGAACCGACUAAUGUUGAAAAAUUAGCGGAUGACUUGUGGCUGGGGGUGAAAGGCCAAUCAAACCGGGAGAUAGCUGGUUCUCCCCGAAAGCUAUUUAGGUAGCGCCUCGUGAAUUCAUCUCCGGGGGUAGAGCACUGUUUCGGCAAGGGGGUCAUCCCGACUUACCAACCCGAUGCAAACUGCGAAUACCGGAGAAUGUUAUCACGGGAGACACACGGCGGGUGCUAACGUCCGUCGUGAAGAGGGAAACAACCCAGACCGCCAGCUAAGGUCCCAAAGUCAUGGUUAAGUGGGAAACGAUGUGGGAAGGCCCAGACAGCCAGGAUGUUGGCUUAGAAGCAGCCAUCAUUUAAAGAAAGCGUAAUAGCUCACUGGUCGAGUCGGCCUGCGCGGAAGAUGUAACGGGGCUAAACCAUGCACCGAAGCUGCGGCAGCGACGCUGAUGCGUUGUUGGGUAGGGGAGCGUUCUGUAAGCCUGUGAAGGUGUGCUGUGAGGCAUGCUGGAGGUAUCAGAAGUGCGAAUGCUGACAUAAGUAACGAUAAAGCGGGUGAAAAGCCCGCUCGCCGGAAGACCAAGGGUUCCUGUCCAACGUUAAUCGGGGCAGGGUGAGUCGACCCCUAAGGCGAGGCCGAAAGGCGUAGUCGAUGGGAAACAGGUUAAUAUUCCUGUACUUGGUGUUACUGCGAAGGGGGGACGGAGAAGGCUAUGUUGGCCGGGCGACGGUUGUCCCGGUUUAAGCGUGUAGGCUGGUUUUCCAGGCAAAUCCGGAAAACUAAGGCUGAGGCGUGAUGACGAGGCACUACGGUGCUGAAGCAACAAAUGCCCUGCUUCCAGGAAAAGCCUCUAAGCAUCAGGUAACAUCAAAUCGUACCCCAAACCGACACAGGUGGUCAGGUAGAGAAUACCAAGGCGCUUGAGAGAACUCGGGUGAAGGAACUAGGCAAAAUGGUGCCGUAACUUCGGGAGAAGGCACGCUGAUAUGUAGGUGAAGUCCCUCGCGGAUGGAGCUGAAAUCAGUCGAAGAUACCAGCUGGCUGCAACUGUUUAUUAAAAACACAGCACUGUGCAAACACGAAAGUGGACGUAUACGGUGUGACGCCUGCCCGGUGCCGGAAGGUUAAUUGAUGGGGUCAGCGCAAGCGAAGCUCUUGAUCGAAGCCCCGGUAAACGGCGGCCGUAACUAUAACGGUCCUAAGGUAGCGAAAUUCCUUGUCGGGUAAGUUCCGACCUGCACGAAUGGCGUAAUGAUGGCCAGGCUGUCUCCACCCGAGACUCAGUGAAAUUGAACUCGCUGUGAAGAUGCAGUGUACCCGCGGCAAGACGGAAAGACCCCGUGAACCUUUACUAUAGCUUGACACUGAACAUUGAGCCUUGAUGUGUAGGAUAGGUGGGAGGCUUUGAAGUGUGGACGCCAGUCUGCAUGGAGCCGACCUUGAAAUACCACCCUUUAAUGUUUGAUGUUCUAACGUUGACCCGUAAUCCGGGUUGCGGACAGUGUCUGGUGGGUAGUUUGACUGGGGCGGUCUCCUCCUAAAGAGUAACGGAGGAGCACGAAGGUUGGCUAAUCCUGGUCGGACAUCAGGAGGUUAGUGCAAUGGCAUAAGCCAGCUUGACUGCGAGCGUGACGGCGCGAGCAGGUGCGAAAGCAGGUCAUAGUGAUCCGGUGGUUCUGAAUGGAAGGGCCAUCGCUCAACGGAUAAAAGGUAC